rnacentral:rRNA from 1 species
UGUAAGCGUAUACCAAAGUUGUUGCAGUUAAAACGCUCGUAGUCGGACUUUGGCAGUUCCGGAUGUGUGCACGUCGUGUGCGCACUUCGCGGGGAUUGCUUUUGUGGUCUUGCGUAGGAUGAGGCACUUUUAUUAGUGAACGUCCUCACGCAACCACUUUUUACUGUGAGAAAAUCAGAGUGCUCAAAGCAGGCAUUUGCCGUGAAUGUAUUAGCAUGGAAUAAUAGAAUAGGACUUGGUUCUAUUUUGUUGGUUUGUUGGGACUGAGUAAUGAUUAAGAGGGACAGUUGGGGGCAUUUGUAUUUCGGUGCUAGAGGUGAAAUUCUUAGAUUACCGAAAGACAAACUGCUGCGAAAGCGUCUGCCAGGGAUGUUUUCAUUGA